rnacentral:rRNA from 1 species
GAUGAACGCUGGCGGCGUGCCUAAUACAUGCAAGUCGAGCGAACGGACGAGAAGCUUGCUUCUCUGAUGUUAGCGGCGGACGGGUGAGUAACACGUGGAUAACCUACCUAUAAGACUGGGAUAACUUCGGGAAACCGUAGCUAAUACCGGAUAAUAUUUUGAACCGCAUGGUUCAAAAGUGAAAGACGGUCUUGCUGUCACUUAUAGAUGGAUCCGCGCUGCAUUAGCUAGUUGGUAAGGUAAAGGCUUACCAAGGCAACGAUGCAUAGCCGACCUGAGAGGGUGAUCGGCCACACUGGAACUGAGACACGGUCCAGACUCCUACGGGAGGCAGCAGAAGGGAAUCUUCCGCAAUGGGCGAAAGCCUGACGGAGCAACGCCGCGUGAGUGAUGAAGGUCUUCGGAUCGUAAAACUCUGUUAUUAGGGAAGAACAUAUGUGUAAGUAACUGUGCACAUCUUGACGGUACCUAAUCAGAAAGCCACGGCUAACUACGUG